rnacentral:lncRNA from 1 species
CACAGUCUUUAGUACCAUUUAUUAACCAGCAUCCAGGUGUAGCUGCACCAGGGCAGGAGAGAAGACAAGUUUGAUUACAAUAACUGGAAGGGUGCCAAACACAGUUGUAGCUAGCUGGUGUCUAGACUUAGAUGCAUUCACAGUUGUAAACUGCUGUCAGUUCCUCAGUGGAAAAGUAGCCACACAUCACCCUGAAGUUUUGCACUUCAGGCCUAUUUCUUUUUGUUGGCUUCCCACUUGUGCGUGGCUAACUUUGCCCAGAAAGCAGGUGUGUCCUGUCUCCUGAGCCUGCAAAACCCAAGGACUAGCUCAUCUUUGGCCACAAACCACAAAGUGUAUAAUUUAAACAGAAAAUGGGCUACUCUUCCUUCACUGAAAAAACGAAGCUUUACUGUAUAUACACUCGAGGACAUCAGGGAAAAACAUGCCAGUUUCUAGUGGAACACAGCAAGCCGGUGAACAAAAAGGUGCAUUUUUUGGCUGGUCUAUUUUUACUCUGACCCCAAAUUUCUGCCACCUAAAGAAAGGAAAGAAGCAAGCCGGUGACCUUACUUGAAUGCAGAAACCCCUGCAGAGCUUCCGCGGUAGGGGCCGGUACCGCCAGCCGGUGGCUAGCGCGGCCCCGGUGGACGAGAGCGGGAGCAGCUAAAAGCAAAACAAAUCAAAGUGAAAAACAAAACAACCCACCCCAAGAAACAAACCAGAAUUAGCCUAAAGGAAAAGGUCAGCUUUGGCCCUAAAAGCCUUCAAGGCGUCUCUGCAGCUCGGUGUAGUGGGGCGCGGAAAGGUCACCUGGACCGCCCGCAGCGCAGCCGGGAGAGGGGUCGAAUUUUGGGUGUCCCUCUUCUGUCACCGGGAGCUCAGCAGGACAGAGAGGGUGGCUCCAGACAGAGGUAGCUGUCCGCGGUCUCCACCGGAUACUAAGGCCCAGAGAUGCCCAGGGGACGGAGGGGCUUUGCCGGGCUCCCGGCGCAACUCUCACCCCGACACGGGCCGAGGGGCACCGGCGAGCUGGGGCUCCCCGGGCGGACGCGGCUUGGUACGACCUGCUCCUCCUUGCCCGCUGCUUCCCCUCCC